rnacentral:lncRNA from 1 species
CAUCCUUCAUUCUGCAUCCUACAUCCUUCAUCCUACAUCCUUUCAGCCUUCAUCCCGCAUCAUCCAUCCUUACAUCCGGCACCCUGCACGCUCCACCCUGCAUCCUUCAUCCUACAUCUUGCAUCCUGCAUCCUUUUCCCCUGCAUCCGCGCAUUGCAUCAUUUCUCCCACACCUCUGCAGCCUCUGGGACGUGCAGGGCUGCCCCCCAGGGACGAGCUGUGCACCGCAACGGGAACGAGGGGCGGGGACGAGGCGGGGACAGGGGCGGGGAGGUGCGGGGUCCCGUUGGUAGCCACGAGGUGGUGCUGGCGGCACGCGCCCCGCGUCCUCCUGCAGAAUGCAACCCUUCACCCUGCAUCCUGCGCCCUUCAUCCUGCACCUUUCACCACGCAGCCUCCAUCCUGCACCUUGCCUCCUGCAUCCUUCGCCGUUCAUCCUGCACCCUUCAGUCUGCACCUUUAAGUCUGCAUUGUGCACCGUGCAGCCUGCAUCUUUUGUCCUGCACUUUACAGUCUGCAUCCUGCAGCACCCAUCCUGCAACCUCACCAUGCACAAUACAUCCUGCACCUUUUACCUCAUGUCCUGCAUCCUGCACUGUCUCAUGCACCCUUCAUCCUGCACCCUUCACUAAUCAUCCUGCACCCCACACGCUGUGUCUUGCACCCCUACAUCCUUCCCCCUGCACCUUUCACAGUACAUCCUGCACCCUGCAUCGUGUAUGCUGCACCCUGCAUCCUUCACCUUGCAUCCUGCACCUUGCAACAUCUGUCCUGCAUCCUCACCAUGCACAACACAUCCUGCAUCCUUCGCCUUGCAUCAAGCACCGUGUCAUGCAUCCUUCACCCUACACCCUUCAUCCUUACCCCUUCACCACUCAUCCUGCACCCCAUACUUUGUCACCUGCACUCUGCAACCUUUCUGCAUCCCCCAGGUGUGCUGGGCUGUGUGAGCAGAGCUGGGCUGUGCUCCUUAGGCAGCUCAGCUGGGCUGUGACGUGCCUUAUGUGUGUCUCUAUGUGCCCCCAUGUGCACCACAGGCAACUGUGA